rnacentral:rRNA from 1 species
CGUCAGCUCGUGUCGUGAGAUGUGGGUUAAGUCCCGCAACGAGCGCAACCCCUGUGGUUAGUUGCCAGCAAGUAGCGUUGGGCACUCUAGCCAGACUGCCGGUGAUAAAUCGGAGGAAGGUGGGGACGACGUCAAAUCAUCAUGCCCUUUAUGUCCUGGGCUACACACGUACUACAAUGGCCGUUACAACGGGAAGCGAAGGAGCAAUCCGGAGCAAAUCCCUUAAAGGCGGUCCCAGUUCAGAUUGUGGGCUGAAACUCGCCCACAUGAAGGCGGAAUUGCUAGUAAUUGCAGAUCAGCAUGCUGCCAGUCCGAAUACGUUCCGGGCCUU